rnacentral:rRNA from 1 species
AUUGAACGCUGGCGGCAGGCCUAACACAUGCAAGUCGAGCGGAGCGGCGGACGGGUGAGUAAUGCAUAGGAAUCUGCCCGGUAGUGGGGGAUAACGUCAGGAAAGGGACGCUAAUACCGCAUACUAUUCGAUGCGCCUAGGUCGGAUUAGCUAGUUGGUGGGGUAAAGGCCUACCAAGGCGAAGAGCCGUAACUGGUCUGAGAGGAUGAUCAGUCACACUGGAACGGAGACACGGUCCAGACUCCUACGGGAGGCAGCAGUGGGGAAUAUUUGACAAUGGGCGAAAGCCUGAUGCAGCCAUGCCGCGUGUGUGAAGAAGGUCUUCGGGUUGUAAAGCACUUUAAGCUGGGAGGCGUUACCAACAGAAGAAGCACCGGCUAACUUCGUGCCAGCAGCCGCGGUAAUUC